GAGGAAUGUAUAGCAAUAGCUUGCAUCAUUGUAGAGAUUGCAAGAUCAUGUCAGGUAGAAUUAUGAUAAUGACAUUGUCUGCCUAUGUGUCUUGACCAAAUUACGUGCCAGCAGUCGCGGUAAUACGUAGAAGAAGUGUUAUUCAUGAUUAAUCGGUUUAAAGGGUACCUAGACGGUAAAUCAAGCCUAAAAUUAAAUGAAGGGACUAUUUUACUAGAGUUACUUAUGAGGGGGUAUUAAAGUACUGCUGGUGUAGAGAUGAAAUUCUGUCAUACCUCUUUUCAAUAGAAAAAUAAUGGCACAGGUAUAGGCGAAAGCAUCCCCUUAUGUGAUAACUGACGUUGAGGGACGAAGGCUUUGUGUAGCGAACAGGAUUAGAUACCCCAGUAGUCAAAGCAGAAAAUGAUGAAUGUCAUAGAUUAGAUAAGUAAGUUUAUUCUAUAAAUGAAAGUGUAAGCAUUCCACCUCAAGAGUAAUUUGGCAACAUUGGAACUGAAAUCAUUAGACCGUUUCUGAAACCAGUAGUGAAGUAUGUUGUUUAAUUUGAUGAUCCGCAAAAAACCUUACCACAAUUUGAAUAUUUAUAUCUUAUAUUGUUUUCUUAUUUUCUUCUGAAUUUUCUCUUCUAAAGAAAUAAGAAAAAAGAGACAAUAUGAUAUAUUUACGCGUUGCACGGCUGUCUUCAGUUAAUGUCGCGAGACUUUGGUUAGUUCCAUUAAAUUAAAUUUUUAGUAGUUCCCCGCUAGAUUGGAUAUGA
rnacentral:rRNA from 1 species